AUUGAACGCUGGCGGCAGGCUUAACACAUGCAAGUCGAGUGGAGAUGAGGUGCUUGCACCUUAUCUUAGCGGCGGACGGGUGAGUAAUGCUUAGGAAUCUGCCUAUUAGUGGGGGACAACAUUCCGAAAGGAAUGCUAAUACCGCAUACGCCCUAUGGGGGAAAGCAGGGGAUCUGCGGACCUUGCGCUAAUAGAUGAGCCUAAGUCGGAUUAGCUAGUUGGUGGGGUAAAGGCCUACCAAGGCGACGAUCUGUAGCGGGUCUGAGAGGAUGAUCCGCCACACUGGGACUGAGACACGGCCCAGACUCCUACGGGAGGCAGCAGUGGGGAAUAUUGGACAAUGGGCGGAAGCCUGAUCCAGCCAUGCCGCGUGUGUGAAGAAGGCCUUUUGGUUGUAAAGCACUUUAAGCGAGGAGGAGGCUACCUGGAUUAAUACUCUAGGAUAGUGGACGUUACUCGCAGAAUAAGCACCGGCUAACUCUGUGCCAGCCGCCGCCGUAAAAC
rnacentral:rRNA from 1 species